rnacentral:rRNA from 1 species
UACGGGGGGGGCAAGCGUUGUUCGGAAUUACUGGGCGUAAAGGGCGCGUAGGCGGCCCGGUAAGUCAAAGGUGAAAUCCCUCGGCUCAACUGAGGAACUGCCUUUGAAACUGUCGGGCUUGAGGCCGGGAGGGGGUAGCGGAAUUCCCAGUGUAGCGGUGAAAUGCGUAGAUACUGGGAGGAACACCAGUGGCGAAGGCGGCUACCUGGACCGGUUCUGACGCUGAUGCGCGAAAGCGUGGGUAGCAAACAGG